rnacentral:rRNA from 1 species
UACAGAGGGUGCGAGCGUUGUUCGGAAUUAUUGGGCGUAAAGGGCGCGUAGGCGGUGCCACAAGUCACUUGUGAAAUCCCCCGGGCUUAACUCGGGGCCUGCAGGCGAAACUGUGGCGCUGGAGUAUGGGAGAGGUGCGUGGAAUUCCCGGUGUAGAGGUGAAAUUCGUAGAUAUCGGAGAGACACCGGUGGCGAAGGCGGCCAACUGGACGAGUACUGACGCUGAGACACGAAAGCGUGGGGAGCAAACAGG